ACUAGGCUAGUAACAACUUUUGUCCACGAGGGGGAGCUUUACACCGUGUCCUAACCAGACGCGAUUAGGGAUGAGAGAUUCCAAACUUUUUAAUUCUAUAUAAUUUUUUUUUUCCCAAAUCUAAUCUAUAAGAUCAUUUCAAACAUAGACACAAAAUAUUUAUUUAUUUUCAACGGCUAUUUGUCUUAAGGAAAUGACGUCUUUGUGCCUUGGACGUUUCCGGUUAGGUGUCGAGCUCGAGCGCGUUCAAAACAUCGGCGGGAGGCGCUUGAUGCACAGUCGGAUUGUGAUAAUAUAUUCUUUUAAUAUCAGGAUUAUAAAUAUAAAAUUACAACUAGGCCAGUGUUUACAGUUAGAUUCAGUGGUUUAAUGCUCCCUCAUGCCCGGAACUAAAGUUAAAGUGUUAUUAAAUUCCCGAAAACCGCAGCAGUGAAGCGGGAAGGCUGGAAACCAACUAGCAGCUCUAGGAAAUGUAGUACAUAUUUUAAUUCUGGGAAGCCAUCAGAUGACCAUGUAAGUCCAGACUGCAGAAAGGCUUCAGUGAACUAUAACAUGCUGCUGUGGAUCAGUCCUGAAGACACCAGUGAUUUACAGGUGAGGACACGUUCGAGCUGCAUGCGGUGCAGUUGGAGCUGGAGGCCGUGGAACGACAGAUCCGGACCCUUCUGGAGAAACAGGCCGAGCUACGGGAGCGGCGAACAGCGCUGGAAACAUCCCGUGCUGACGCUCACCAAUCCUCGGUAAGUUUGCAGCGCGAUAUUAACAUUCCUGCUUCCUCUACGCCGUGUACUUCUCUGCACAGGGCCCGAGAACCCAGAACGCGUUCAUCCCAGCCCUCGUUCACUCCGGCGCCGUCACACCAGGGACCUUGGGUUCUUCAGCAACGGAAGGCGCGAGCCAGGCCUCGGACCAGGACCUCUCCCCCUCCGCCGCCCCCGGUCUUCGAGGUCUCGACGAGGAACCGCUUCUCCCCUCUUCGCGAAGCAGAACGAGACGCCGUGGUCAUCGGAGACUCCAUCGUCCGUCACGUCCACGCUACCACAACCAAAGGUAAGGUGCGCAGUCACUGUUUUCCUGGUGCUCGUGUCCUCGAUGUCUCUGCGCAGGUUCCCGCGAUCCUGAAUGGCGCUGAGAGCAUCGGAGCUGUUGUUCUGCACGUGGGGGUGAACGACACCAGGCUGCGGCAGACGGAGGUGCUGAAGCAGGACUUCAGGAGCCUGAUUGAGACGGUACGAGCCACAUCGCCCGCGACGAGGAUCAUCGUGUCCGGACCGCUUCCGACGUACCGACAUGGACAUGAAAGGUUCAGUAGAUUAUUUGCUUUAAAUGAAUGGUUAAUGUCUUGGUGUACUGAACAGAAGCUGCUCUUUAUAAAUAAUUGGAAUCUUUUCUGGGAGCGACCUAGGCUCUUCCGUGCUGAUGGCCUGCACCCCAGCAAAAUCGGAGCUGAUCUUCUGUCGGAGAACAUCUCCAAGACGCUUCGCACCGUAUGACUAAGAGUACAUCAGUUUCAGUUUGGAUCCAGCCUCUUAAGAAGACCUCAGAUGACUAAAACUUUGGAAGAGACGGCGCCAACUCCUGCGAUGACUUCAGAAGAUGCAACAUCUGGAUCAACACGCACAUUCACAUUCUAUAAAUCCUAAUUAUUGUUAAUAUGUAAUUCAUUUUUCCAGGAGCUCUUUGCUUCUACCUCCAAUUACAUUGCUAACAGUGAUUGUAUGUUAAUCGCCUAAAUUAUUACAUUAUUAGCUAACUGCAGUCUCCAAAUUGUAAUGUUGACAUGCAUUCUCUGUAAAGCUGCUUUGAAACGAUAUGUAUCGUGAAAAGCGCUAUACAAAUAAAUGUGAAUUGAAUUGAAUUGAAUUAUGACGUCAUCUAUCGACAUUUAGCGGCAUAUAUAUAUGGCAUUAAAAAUUUAAAAAUUGGCAUUGAAAAGCAUUAAAUUAGAUUUGAUGAAACCUGUAAAAACCCUGACUUAAUAAAGAAACAAGAAGGAUUACAACUACUUUGCAAUUAAAAACAAAACUGCAAAGGCUGCGUUAUGGGGAGGAUAUAAAAAAGAAAAAAGAACGGGCUCCAGUCGGGCUCGGGCAGAAAAUUCUGACAACCUGUCGGACACGGGCCGGGCUAGGGCCUAGAUUUGUGGCUGUGCAGGGCUCUAACAACCAUCACAAAACAUAAAAAAAAAAAAAAAAAAGUCGUGGGUCAUCCAGGUAACCACACACAGUCUUAAGAAUCAAGGGUUCACAAACUUUUGAGUGGGGUCAUAUUUAUAUAUUCAGCCAUUUUUUGUAUUGUGGAUUAUAUGUAAAAAUUUAUGUAAAAUCUUACUCGGGACAGUACUAAAUAAGAAAAA